rnacentral:rRNA from 1 species
GACGAACGCUGGCGGCGUGCCUAAUACAUGCAAGUCGAGCGGACCACUUCGGUGGUCAGCGGCGGACGGGUGAGUAACACGUGGGCAACCUGCCUGUAAGACUGGGAUAACACCGGGAAACCGGUGCUAAUACCGGAUAAUCCUUUCCUUCACAUGAAGGAAAGCUGAAAGACGGUUUCGGCUGUCACUUACAGAUGGGCCCGCGGCGCAUUAGCGAGUUGGUGAGGUAACGGCUCACCAAGGCAACGAUGCGUAGCCGACCUGAGAGGGUGAUCGGCCACACUGGGACUGAGACACGGCCCAGACUCCUACGGGAGGCAGCAGUAGGGAAUCUUCCGCAAUGGACGAAAGUCUGACGGAGCAACGCCGCGUGAGCGAUGAAGGCCUUCGGGUCGUAAAGCUCUGUUGUCAGGGAAGAACAAGUACUGGAGUAACUGCCGGUACCUUGACGGUACCUGACCAGAAAGCCACGGCUAACUACGUGCCAGCAGCCGCCGUAACAC